rnacentral:lncRNA from 1 species
AUGGGGCACACGGACACCAUGGGGAUGGGGAACGUGGGGCACACGGGCGUCAUGGGGACAGGGGCACAUGGGGCAUGUGGGUGCCAUGAGGAUGGGGCACACAGGGCACAGGGACAUCAUGGGGGACCGGGCACACAGGUGUCAUUGGGAUGGGGCACGCAGGACACAGGGACAUCACAGGGAUGGGGCAUACAGGUGUCAUCAGGAUGGGGUUCCUGGGGCACAGGGACAUCAUGGGGGACAGGGCACACAGGUGUCAUUGGGAUGGGGCACCUGGGCACAGGGACAUCAUGGGGAUGGGGCACACAGGUGGCACGGGGAUGGGGCACACAGGUGGCACAGGGACAGGGCACAUGGGUGUCAUCGGGAUGGGGUACAUGGGUGUCAUCAGGAUGGGGCACCUGGGGCACAGGGACAUCAUGGGGACGGGGGCACACAGGGCACACAGGUGUUAUGGGAAUGGGCCAAACAAGUGUCAUGGGAAUGGGGCACAUGGGGCACACUGGUGUCAUCGGGAUGGGGCACCUGGGGCACAGGCACAUCACGGGGAUGGGGCACAGGGGCACCACGGGCACAGGCCAUCUGGCCACCGUGGGACCAGGGUGCCUGGUUUCAGAGGGCCAGGCCCUGGUGUUUCCCCAUCGCCACCUUCCCCACCACCUGCGGUUGCUCCUGCGCCCGGCCCAGCCCGCUCAUCCCCGGCGCGCCCUGCUUGCCUCCCCAUGUCACAUCCUUCUUGCACAAUUAGCCGGGCGGCUAGUCCCCUCCCUCCGCGCUGGUCCCUAUAAGAGGCGCCGCCGCUCCGGGUGGGCAGCUGAAAGGACGGGAAGGCCCGUGCCGGGAUUUCGGAGGCUGUUGGGUUUGCAGACUCUGCCAUGUCACGGGCAUCCAGACCGGCGCAGAGCGUCACCGUGGGCUGGGCCAGGCCGGGGAGGUGCCAGGUAA